rnacentral:rRNA from 1 species
AUUUAAAGAGUGCGUAAUAGCUCACUGGUCGAGUGACUCUGCGCCGAAAAUGUAACGGGGCUAAACACACCACCGAAGCUAUGGCUUGAUGCUUUGCAUCAGGGGUAGGGGAGCGUUGUAUGUAGGUAGAAGGUGUACCGUAAGGAGCGCUGGACAGCAUACAAGUGAGAAUGCCGGUAUGAGUAACGAAAAGAUCAGUGAGAAUCUGAUCCGCCGAAAGCCUAAGGG